GAUGAACGCUAGCGGCAGGCUUAACACAUGCAAGUCGAGGGGCAGCACGGGUAGCAAUACUUGGUGGCGACCGGCGCAAGGGUGCGUAACGCGUGAGCAACAUGCCCGUAUCAGGGGGAUAAUCCAUGGAAACGUGGUCUAAUACCCCAUAGUAAGUUUUUGGGGCAUCUCAAAGAUUUUAAAGCUUUGGUGGAUACGGAUUGGCUCGCGUGACAUUAGCUAGAUGGUAAGGUAACGGCUUACCAUGGCUACGAUGUCUAGGGGUUCUGAGAGGAAGGUCCCCCACACUGGAACUGAGACACGGUCCAGACUCCUACGGGAGCAGCAGUGAGGAAUAUUGGACAAUGGAUGGAAAUCUGAUCCAGCCAUGCCGCGUGCA
rnacentral:rRNA from 1 species